rnacentral:rRNA from 1 species
CAGUAGCCGCGGGAAUACGAAGGGGGCUAGCGUUGCUCGGAAUGACUGGGCGUAAAGGGCGCGUAGGCGGCGAUCAAAGUCAGAUGUGAAAUCCCCGGGCUUAACCUGGGAACUGCAUUUGUGACUGGCGAGCUAGAGUAUGGCAGAGGGGGGUAGAAUUCCACGUGUAGCAGUGAAAUGCGUAGAGAUGUGGAGGAAUACCGAUGGCGAAGGCAGCCCCCUGGGCCAAUACUGACGCUCAUGCACGAAAGCGUGGGGAGCAAACAGGAUUAGAUACCCCGGUAGUCCCUGUCUCUUAUCC